ensembl:lncRNA
UAGUCACACCAUCCACUGCGGCCUUCAAAUGUUACAAAUGCUAGGCCGAAAGUCAUCUUAGCACCAAUAGGAGGGGAUCAGAAACUGGAAAGGAAAGCUAGUGGCGAGCAGUCCCUCAAAGCCAGAGCGCACCGGAAGAUGGGCUGGUCAGGAGAAACACGUCACAUGUCGAAAACCUGUCAGCAAGGCACUGUUCUAGGCUCUGAGUAUACAAAAUAAAGAAUGCAUCAUACAGAGCCCUCAGACAAGCACAGUCGCAGGGCGGUGGUAUAAGUGCUGCAGGAAAACCGUGUUACAGGUGAUCUCGGACAGCCUGGGACUGCGGCAGCGUGGAGCAGUGCUCGGGCUCCCAGCCAGAGAUUGGGCUGGGUGGUGGUGGUGGAAGCGCCAGAUCCUAGCCACUAGACUUGUGAUCAUUGACAAGAGCCCUGGGCCUUUGGCUUUGCCAAAAAGAAUUCCCACAAAGACAGGAAGUGGUGAAACAAGUAAAGUAUUUAUUAAGAGGAAAAGAGCACAGUGUGUGUGGCUAGGCCCACAGGCAAACUCAGAGCUCCUGAGUCGUGCCCUCGGGAAGUUUGAAUUACUUUUAUGGGGUAUUUCUUCUGCGUUUCCUUUGGCCAAUCCUUUUGAUUUGCCCGGUUCACAGUCUGUGUCUGGUAUAUCUCAGAAUCCCCCCAGGGCUUCCCUAGUGGCUCAGAUGGUAAAGAAUCCACCUGCAAUGCAGGAGGCCUGGGUUCAGUCCCUGGGUUGGAAGAUCCCCUGGAGAAGGAAACGGCAACCCACUCCAGUAUUCUUGCCCAAAGAGUCCCAUGAACAGGGGAGCCUGGUGGGCUACAGUCCAUGGAGUCAAACUCAACUGAAGCGACUUAGCACGCACUCAGAGGAUUCUCCCAUGUGUGCACACGCAUCUCUUAGCCAAGAAGGAUUUUACCAAAAAGGCAUCUGGGUAGAACAUCCCUUGAUAUAAGUCUCCUUUGGCCUCCAAAGAGCCUUUCUGCCCAUGUGUGGUCAGGGCGGUCUGCUGACUUCGAGAACGAGAAACAUGUGGUCUAGGCAGGGCCCAGCCUCCUCCCUUAAUCAUCCUGCUGUUCUUGUCUUAGAGUUUCAGUCCAUAGGGGAUGCAUCUCCUAUUGCUUUACCCUCUAGGGUGGGGCUCAUCUAUCCCCUGCCUCACAGGUACAGGGUGAUCAAAUGUCAGUGGUCCCAGUCUUAGACCAGCUCACCUUUAGAGCCCGUCUCAGCCUCACCCUCGGCUCUAUUUUGCUAGGAGCUGACUCUUGCAGGCCGAGAUUUACAGAAUCCUGGGCCAGGUGGCUAAUAGCUAGAUACGGCCCAUGAGCAGUGUUGGAGAGAGAGUGGAAGGUGGGAGGAAAGUUAAGGCCAGAGAAUUUCUUCACCUCCCUCUUGCCUCUGACAGCAUCUCCAGCUGUGACUGCAUCUGACUAAGGCUUCUGCCAGGUGAUCCCAGCCCUUGGCUGAGGUAAAACUACGACUUCCCGUUAACUCUCCAGCUUAAUGAUGUUAAUGACUUUCUGCUAAAAUUAGUUGCUUGUAGCUUCUUCUUCCUCUGUUUGCGUCUCAGAUCCUCCAUCACCUGUAGGGCAAUGCCCUGCAUUAAAUCCCUUCUGUGGACGGGUAAUUUACAAAAUGACCUGAGCAGUACUCCUCAAAAGGAUGCAGUGCUGUGCUUAGUUGCUCCAUCAUGUCCGACUCUUUGAACCCCAGGGACUGUAGCCCACCAGGUUCCUCUGUCUCUGGGGAUUCUCCUGGCAAGAAUCCUGGAGUGGGUUGCCAUUCCCUUCUCCAGGGAAUAUUCCCAACCCAGGGAUAGAACCCAGGUUUCCCGCACUGCAGAUGGAUUCUUUACUUAGCCACCAGGGAAGCCCCAGUAGAGUCAUUAAAAACCAGGAAAUGCUGAGAACUGCUACAGCAAAGAGGAGCUUUAAGGAGAUAUGACAACUCCAUGUACUGUGGUAUACUGGAUGGGAUCAAGGGGCAGAAAAAGAUGAACAGACUUGCUCCAAAUGGCACCGAUUAUUUAUGGGCAGAAUAGCAGCCCAAAUAAAAGUCUGCAGGGCACAAAAACAGGGUCAACAGUGCGCAGACUCGGCAGAAACCACGAGACUGCGUCUGCAAGGACAGAUAGAGGUUAAGGCAUGAGCAAAUGUGAGCAGAAGCAGGACUUCACGGAGGGGGCAUCGCAGGUGACAGCACUAAAUCACUACUGUGAAUCCACGCUCAUCGAAAGGCAUGAAGGAACCUCGCUUUGCUGUGUUCAUCGCUGAUGCUGGUCACACUUAUUCCUUAACCGACCCAAUCAGGCCAUUUGCAGAUGGCCCCCCAGUAGUGGAAGAGGGCUGGUGUUCCCUUCUCUCCAGAGCCAGUUACAGAACCGGCUGCAACCUGUGUCCUCAGACCCAUCUUCCCCGGCUCUGGCUCCGUCCUUUAGGAGUGAUUUAUCCUGGGGUCUGACUCCCGAGCAGAGCCGCAGUGUCGGCCUUGAAGGAAAGCCAGACGCAGCCCGGCCUGGCUCUGGGCCAGCCAGCUGGCGGCGGAGCUGCGGGCUCUUGGGGUCCCCCGGCCCCCCUUUCAGCUGUCUCGCCCAGGUGAUCAUCCACGCUGCCGCUCCCUGGCUCUUUCUAGCCCCUCAUUUCAGAUCACUUUACACACGUUAAUUAAGCCUUGAAACACUCAGGAAAGAAAAUCGAAGCGCUAACUGGGAUGUCAGCCACGCCCCUCCCCAGUCAGGAGGAAGAAGGAGCUGGUAAAGCACGGGGUUGGGAUGAACCGGUUCCACAAGAGGCAGGAAACCCCGUUCACUUCAAAUUCACCAGUCAGCGUCACAGAACAACCUCCCACCUCAUGGUCCCCCAUCACGGUUGAUCCUGGUGACCAUCGGAAGGCGGGUUCCCCUGGGCAAGACUGCUGACUGAGAGGCAGCAUCCAUCCUAAAGGAAAUCAACCCUGAAUGUUCACUGGAAGGACUGAUGCUGAAGCUGGAGCUCCAAUGCUUUGGACACCUGAUGCGAAGAGCUGACUCACUGGAAAAGACCCUGAUGCUGGGAAAGACUGAAGGCGGGAAGAGAAGGGGAUGACAGAGGGUGAGAUGCUUCAGUGGUAUCACUGACUCAGUGGACAUGAGUUUGAACAAGCUCCGGGAGUUGGUGAAGGAUGGGGAAGCCUGGCGUGCUGCAGUCCAUGGGGCUGCAGAGAGUCGGACACGACGGAACAACCACCAUCUGGGUCAUGCUGUUAGGAAGCCUUCAGUCUGCACCGCAGUGGUGAGGCUUAUGGUCACGGCUUUGGGAUCAGAGAGGCCUUGGCCAUCCCCGGCCCUGCCACUUUCAGCUGCUGUCCCGUGCACUUUACUCGGAAUCCUGGAUCCCGCUGUUUCUGCUGUUAAAGGGACAUGAGAGCAUCCACCCCUGCCACCACCAUCCCCACCCCCCACCCUGCCAACGUGGUUUCUGCGGAGGAUGAAAUUAGAUCAGGCAUGCAAAAUAUUGAGGACCAAAAUGUAAAACAUAUUUAUGUUUGGCACAUAAAAUGGUAUAUUUUAUAGUUUUCUGAACCAUCUCCCUAGCUAAUCCCAGUCCAUCUGAAUUAAUGCAGUUCUCUCGCUGCGUUGGAAGCUUUUUCUCAAAUUAACACUGAAGUCUCUCAUUGACAAGAAAUGGUUGGGGGAUCCCCGUGAAGCCUGUAGUUCAGUUGACAGCGUAUACCAUUUCCGUGUCUUAGUUUUGAUAAAUAUGUCACGGACAUUUUCACAGUGUGGACAUUUCAGGAAGUUGGGUGAGUGGUCCUGGAACCCUUCUUUCUUUGCAACCAAUGCUCAGCUGACAACAGCAAUAAUCCUAUUAAAAUGCGUCAAAAUCAGUAACGCUCACCCAGUAGGGGAGAACAUCAUCUCUGCUUUUAGUACACAUUAAUAAAAAUACCUCCUUAGGGUUCAAAAUUGCCCAUUUUUGUUGUUGUUACCAAAAUAAGAGGCAAUUGAAUGUUAUCUCUAGCUGUUUUCACCACCAAGAAAAAUUCCUUGAGUUUCCAGGGUCGGCAGGGCACCAUCUUGAACGUUAAAAUAACAAACAUUACCAUCAGGAAAAAUAAAGACAGAAAAACACCUGCGGGGGAGUCAUUUUAAGGUGGGUGUUCGGAUGUGAGACAUUUGAUAACUUUACCAUGUAAGCCCCCAGCGCGUCCCUUCCUUCAGGGGAAAGGGAUGACUCUCCGGGCAGUCAGCUCCAGCCUUCCCUUCUGGUGGGCAGCGACGACGAAGGACAGUCCUGUCGAAUAACACCACGAUGACCCCGCUGGCCACCCAGAGGCCAGCUUCUGAGACGUUCACCUUAAAAUGCUGAGGAGACCUUUCCUCUCUCUCACCUGAAGGCGACCUGAGGUCUUUAUUUUUAUUCCUUACUUUUAUUACCGCAUUUCUUGUACCAUGCAAAUUGUGAUGUACUCGUGGGGGUCAGAAGGAGAUUUCCAAAGGGCAGAUGGUGAGUUCUGCUAAUGGCGCUGACGUGGAGAUGGUGAAUAUCCUGUAGCCAUGUUACAACAGGUUCAGGGAAAGAGCCGCUGCUCUCAGGAGUGAGGAUAUA